UUAAUCACUAGUGGCUGUUAUGUUAAGCCUUAAAAUCUCUGUAAAAUACUUUUUCGAUCCGUGCCAACCUCCAUCCUCAGCCCUCAACUACCCACAACUCUCUCUUUUCCAACGCCACUGCCUACGAACACCUCUUCUCUCAAUCUCUCUCCUCUCCUAACAAAGUAACAAUCAUUUCCCCAGAUGACCACCCCGACCGACAUCCCCCCACAGAGCCACCACAGAUUAAUCGACACUCUACACUGGAGAGGGUGCAAGUUUGGCUAUCUUAAUUGAUUUGUUAAUUUCUGAUGGCGAGCUUUCUACAAUGCUUCUCCAGCCAUGCUCGUCUUUCUCGAACCACUCUUGUCCCAGGGUCCAAACCUUUUUUGGUGGAUAUCAUUUGGGGAGGUCAAAUCUGGUGAGUGACUAAUCAAGCCACUCUUCUUAGAGUCAAUACCAAACCCAAACUACUUGACGAUGAUGUAAUUGCAACAUUUAACACCUUCACCCUUUCCCGUGCCCUCAACACAGCCACUACAGCAAAUGAGACUCAGACCUAGAAGCUUAAGCGCAUUGUCGACGAGCUCCUUAACCUCACAAAGCUUGAGAGGCACGAUUAUUCCUCAUUUGCAGGCUGAAAAUGGGCCUCAAUCGGUACAGACUAGCAAUCUCGAGUAUUGGAUCAGCAUCUUCUGACUCUGGGCCUGCUUCUAUAGAAUCCAAGGUUGCAAAGAAGAUUGCAUGUGAUAUAAAGAUUGAGAAAUUUGACGCAGUGGCAAAGAUCAAGAUCAUAAAGGAGGUUAGGACUUUCACUGAAUUGGGACUGAAGGAGGCUAAAGAAUUAGUGGAGAAGGUCCCUGUUGUGGUGAAGAAAGGGUUAACCAAGGUGGAGGAGAGACUAUUGUCAUAUUUUAUUUUCGAUGGCGAUUUUUGUGCUACUAUUUCGAUCAUCUGCACUUUAAGCUGAAUAUUUUACAGUUAUUUUUACACUCAGCAUGAGUGCAAGAGGACAAAACAGACGUAUAAAUAUCACUGACUACUGUUGUG